ACUCCAUACGGGAGGCAGCAGUGGGGAAUAUUGCACAAUGGGCGCAAGCCUGAUGCAGCCAUGCCGCGUGUGUGAAGAAGGCCUUCGGGUUGUAAAGCACUUUCAGUCGUGAGGGAAGGUCAUGUGUUAGUUAAUAGCUGCAUUAUUUGACGUUAGCCGACAGAAGAAGCACCGGCUAACUCCGUGCCAGCAGCCGCGGUAAUACGGAGGGUGCGAGCGUUAAUCGGAAUUACUGGGGCGUAAAGCGCAUGCAGGUGGUUUGUUAAGUCAGAUGUGAAAG
rnacentral:rRNA from 1 species